UACGGGGGGGGCAAGCGUUGCUCGGAAUUACUGGGCGUAAAGGGCUCGUAGGUGGCCAACUAAGUCAGACGUGAAAUCCCUCGGCUUAACCGGGGAACUGCGUCUGAUACUGGAUGGCUUGAGUUUGGGAGAGGGAUGCGGAAUUCCAGGUGUAGCGGUGAAAUGCGUAGAUAUCUGGAGGAACACCGGUGGCGAAGGCGGCAUCCUGGACCAACACUGACGCUGAGGAGCGAAAGCCAGGGGAGCAAACGGG
rnacentral:rRNA from 1 species